ACAGGGACUUCCCCCUUCAGCCCCAGGCAGCUGAGAAAGUGUGGUCGCCCAGAGGAGGGUGCCGGUUCAGUGCCUUUUGGACUUAUUAAUAAUAUAUGAACUCACAUUUGUCUAACAUGUUAUUCCAUUUGCCCCUCUGCAGGGACUGAAGCUCAGAGAGGUCAGAUCUCGCUGGGGCAUCUGGAAGGAAAACUGUCCCUCCAGCAAGAGAAGGACAUUUGGACACAGUGCCUCUUCCCACUGGUUUUGCAGAUGAGCCCUCCCUCUUCCCACCUGUCCCCCUUGCACCAGCUGUGGAGAUGACUUCGGCUCGGCUGAGUGCCCUCGGUGACUAACACAGGCAGGCUUAUUUUGACAAACAAAUCAAAACACACCUGGA